AUUUUCUGGUCCUUGGUUACUGCCACCUUCCCCGUCUUGAAGAGGAGAAGCCUUGGGAGGAAAUGAAUCCUCCACAACCACUUUUUCCUCAUCUUCCUUAAGAACAGUUGCCAGCACCCGACAUGAUUUUCUGGAAAUGAAGGAACGCCGAGGGAAGGAAGUGGGGAUUCUGAAGGAGGCGAGGUUGUUGGUGUGGUUUGGCUUCAAUUGGACGGAUGAGAUAGCAAAAACUGCGAAAGAGGAAGAAGACCAAGCAGUGGACAUAGCUUCGGAGCGAGGGAGAGAAUUUGGAAAUCAAGGUUGGAAUGGUGGAAGAGAAAGUGAGGAAAUAUGGGGAUGAACCACAGAAGAAUUGUUAAUCGGCGG
rnacentral:misc_RNA from 1 species